rnacentral:rRNA from 1 species
UACGGAGGGUGCAAACGUUGCUCGGAAUUAUUGGGCGUAAAGCGCACGUAGGCGGCCGACUAAGUCGGGUGUGAAAGCCCAGGGCUCAACCCUGGAAGUGCACUCGAAACUGGUCGGCUUGAAUAUGGAAGAGGGUCGCGGAAUUCCCGGUGUAGAGGUGAAAUUCGUAGAUAUCGGGAGGAACACCAGUGGCGAAGGCGGCGACCUGGGUAGAUACUGACGCUGAGGUGCGAAAGCGUGGGGAGCAAACAGG